rnacentral:lncRNA from 10 species
UUUGAGAGUGUGUGCGGUAUUGUUAUAAAAAUAGACAUAUAGAUCGAUGGAACAGAAUAGAGUCCCAAAAUAAACAGAAAAAGGAAAGUGGUGUACAGAAGACAGAACUGAGGAGUAGAGACAGCUGGGUCAGUUCUAGCUCAGUGUUUGUUUGCCUUAUUUGAACAUGGUUUGAACAGUUGUCCAUCCUUGAUUGGCUGAACGUCAGUGAUUGGCACAAGAGUAGAGUACAGUAUGUUAACACAUCCAGUUAGUUUGUGGUUCACUACCUAUAGAGAAGCCUUUAUGCUACACUUAAAAUAUGCAAGGAAGGAGCUUUAGGCUAAACUUAACAAUUGUAUAAUAGCUUAAUACCCAGAGAACAGUUAUAUAACAGCACUGAAAUAUUUGCAGUCAGGAGAGGAUUUUGAAUUUGCAAUUUGGGAUUUAUAAGAUUUGAAGUUUUAAACAAGACUAGCCUUAACUUCUGUUAUUAUUUGAGGAUUAUAUCAAAUUAAUUAAUUCAAGAAACUAUGCAUGGUUUCCAUAGUAGACUCUAUGUUUAAUGACUCUCAAUUAAUUAUCUGUGGUCAUUAAAGUUCCAAGUUAAAGCUUUCC